GAAUAUUGGUCAAUGGGCGAGAGCCUGAACCAGCCAAGUAGCGUGAAGGAUGACCGCCCUAUGGGUUGUAAACUUCUUUUAUAUGGGAAUAAAGGGUGCCACGUGUGGCAUUUUGUAUGUACCAUAUGAAUAAGGAUCGGCUAACUCCGUGCCAGCAGCCGCGGUAAUACGGAGGAUCCGAGCGUUAUCCGGAUUUAUUGGGUUUAAAGGGAGCGUAGGUGGACAUGUAAGUCAGUUGUGAAAGUUUGCGGCUCAACCGUAAAAUUGCAGUUGAAACUGCGUGUCUUGAGUACAGUAGAGGUGGGCGGAAUUCGUGGUGUAGCGGUGAAAUGCUUAGAUAUCACGAAGAACUCCGAUUGCGAAGGCAGCUCACUGGACUGCAACUGACACUGAUGCUCGAAAGUGUGGGUAUCAAACAGGAUUAGAUACCCUGGUAGUCCACACAGUAAACGAUGAAUACUCGCUGUUUGCGAUAUACAGUAAGCGGCCAAGCGAAAGCAUUAAGUAUUCCACCUGGGGAGUACGCCGGCAACGGUGAAACUCAAAGGAAUUGACGGGGGCCCGCACAAGCGGAGGAACAUGUGGUUUAAUUCGAUGAUACGCGAGGAACCUUACCCGGGCUUAAAUUGCAAAUGAAUUAUGGGGAAACCCAUACGCCGCAAGGCAUUUGUGAAGGUGCUGCAUGGUUGUCGUCAGCUCGUGCCGUGAGGUGUCGGCUUAAGUGCCAUAACGAGCGCAACCCUUAUCUUCAGUUACUAACAGGUCAUGCUGAGGACUCUGGAGAGACUGCCGUCGUAAGAUGUGAGGAAGGUGGGGAUGACGUCAAAUCAGCACGGCCCUUACGUCCGGGGCUACACACGUGUUACAAUGGGGGGUACAGAAGGCCGCUACCUGGUGACAGGAUGCCAAUCCCAAAAACCUCUCUCAGUUCGGAUCGAAGUCUGCAACCCGACUUCGUGAAGCUGGAUUCGCUAGUAAUCGCGCAUCAGCCAUGGCGCGGUGAAUACGUUCCCG
rnacentral:rRNA from 1 species